CCCAGGGUCCGCAUGCUGGCAUUUCCUCCGACUUCAGCUUCUUUCGGGAACUGUCACAAUUCAUUCCUUGGGGUGCCUGCGCUUCUGGGACAAACCCAGGCUGCUGGGGUGUCUUGCUCUUCUGGCUCAUCCCCCCAAGUGGGGAUGCCUCCCCAGCAGGAUUGCCGAGUGGCCCCUGGGCAGAGACCCUGGCCACAUCCUCCCACAGGCCACUUGAUCCAACACACAGAAGCUGAGCCUUGAAGCCAUUCCCCCCUCAGCUUUAACAAGGACCAAGAUAAGUUUGUCACCAGCGUCUCCGGGAGCACUGGAGUAGAGGAAGUGCUCAGGAUUCAGACACCCAGUCAAGUUCUAGAACUGGA